rnacentral:rRNA from 1 species
AUUGAACGCUGGCGGCAUGCCUUACACAUGCAAGUCGAACGGCAGCAUGGGUGCUUGCACCUGAUGGCGAGUGGCGAACGGGUGAGUAAUGCAUCGGAACGUGCCCUGAAGUGGGGGAUAACGUAGCGAAAGUUACGCUAAUACCGCAUAUUCUGUGAGCAGGAAAGAGGGGGAUCGCAAGACCUCUUGCUUUAGGAGCGGCCGAUGUCGGAUUAGCUAGUUGGUUGGGUAAAGGCCUACCAAGGCGACGAUCCGUAGCGGGUCUGAGAGGAGGAUCCGCCACACUGGGACUGAGACACGGCCCAGACUCCUACGGGAGGCAGCAGUGGGGAAUUUUGGACAAUGGGCGCAAGCCUGAUCCAGCCAUGCCGCGUGAGUGAAGAAGGCCUUCGGGUUGUAAAGCUCUUUCGGUGGGGAAGAAAUUGCUUCGGCUAAUAUCCGGAGUAGAUGACGGUACCCGCAUAAGAAGCACCGGCUAACUACGUGCCAGCAGCCGCAGUAACAC